rnacentral:rRNA from 1 species
UACAGAGGUCUCAAGCGUUGUUCGGAUUCAUUGGGCGUAAAGGGCGUGUAGGCGGGCAGGAAAGUCAGAUGUGAAAUCCCUGGGCUCAACCCAGGAACUGCAUUUGAAACUCCCUUUCUUGAGUGUCGGAGAGGAAAGUGGAAUUCCUGGUGUAGAGGUGAAAUUCGUAGAUAUCAGGAGGAACACCGGUGGCGAAGGCGGCUUUCUGGACGACAACUGACGCUGAGACGCGAAAGCGUGGGGAGCAAACAGG